rnacentral:misc_RNA from 1 species
AACGCACCUUGCACCCUUUGGUAUUCCGAAGGGUAUGCCUGUUUGAGUGUCAUUUAAUUUCUCAACCAUUAGACUUUUUUGUCUAUUGGCUUGGAUGUGGGGGUUUGCGGGCUUCGUCCAGAGGUCGGCUCCUCUUAAAUGCAUUAGUGGAACUCUAUUCACUAUUGGCGUGAUAGUCCUAUCGUCGUCAUGUAUGCUGAAUAGCUGCUGUCUGCUUCUAACUGUCCUUUUGUUGGGACAAUCUCCUUUCAUUUGACCUCAAAUCAGGUAGGACUACCCGCUGAACUUAA